UCUCCUGUUAAAAUUGAAAAAAAAAAUAUUUUAGUUAUAAGCAUCACUCUUGUAUUAUUAUGAAAUAUAUUGUUGUUAAAGGAUACAUUCAAAAAUAUAUAUUAUAUAGGUCUAUAUUAUAAGAACCAGAAAAGUAAAAAUUUAAAAAAAAUAGAGUAGGUUUGGGUUAUUCAUUAUAGGCAUUACUUUCAUAAAUUAUUAUAAAAUCACAAAAAACAUAAAAUUAUAAAACACAAAAAAAUUAGGUUAGUUUCUAGUUAUAUAUUAUGUAAUAGUUACAGAAAACCCCAAAAAAUAAUAAAAUUAUAAAACACAGAAAAAUUAGGUUAGUUUAUCUGGGUUAUAUAUUAUGUAAUAGUUAUAGAAAACCCCAAAAAAUUAAUAAAAUUAUAAAACACAAAAAAUUAGGUUAGUUUAUCUGGGUUAUAUAUUAUGUAAUAGUUAUAGAAAACCCCAAAAAAUUAAUAAAAUUAUAAAACACAAAAAUUAGGUUAGUUUAUCUGGGUUAUAUAUUAUGUAAUAGUUAUAGAAAACCCAAAAAAAUUAGGUUUAGUUAUUACAGGUAAUAG